rnacentral:tRNA from 1 species
GGCGCCGGACUUCAAACCCGGCGAGCUGG